GGUUCAGGACGAACGCUGGCGGCGUGCCUAAUACAUGCAAGUCGAACGGUCUUUCUAUGGAAGCUUGCUUCCACUGAGAAGAUAGUGGCGAACGGGUGAGUAACACGUGGGUAACCUGCCCAUAAGAGGGGGGAUAACAUCCGGAAACGGGUGCUAAUACCGCAUAGUUUUCUUGAUCGCAUGAUCGGGAAAGGAAAGACGGCCUUUGUGCUGUCGCUUAUGGAUGGACCCGCGGCGUAUUAGUUAGUUGGUGAGGUAACGGCUCACCAAGACGAUGAUACGUAGCCGACCUGAGAGGGUGAUCGGCCACAUUGGGACUGAGACACGGCCCAAACUCCUACGGGAGGCAGCAGUAGGGAAUCUUCCGCAAUGGACGAAAGUCUGACGGAGCAACGCCGCGUGAGUGAAGAAAGGUUUUCGGAUCGUAAAACUCUGUUGUCAGAGAAGAACAAGUUGGAGAGUAACUGCUCCAGCCUUGACGGUAUCUGACCAGAAAGCCACGGCUAACUACGUGCCAGCCGCCGC
rnacentral:rRNA from 1 species